ACUGGCCCGCUAGCCCCUGGCUAGUGAAAAUCCAUGGGGCAAGUAAAUCUCCACAAUCACUGGCCCGACUGGAUAGUGAAUUUUCAUGGGGUCAUUUUGUAAAUGUAUCAGUCUCUCCGACUUGUUAAGUUAUAAUCCACUUUUAAAACAUGCAAGAUUAUGGUCUGAUAACAAUAUUCAUCAUAUUAACAGC